AUCUAAGCGUGAAGCCCCCCUUAAGAUGAGAUAUCCCUGGAGAUGAUCCAAUAAGACCCCUUAAAGACGAUGAGGUAGAUAGGGCAGAGGUGGAAGUGUGGCAACACAUGGAGCUGACUGUCACUAAUAGGUCGAAGGCUUGACCAA
rnacentral:rRNA from 1 species